CUUCAAAUCCCGCCUGAAGCAAAAAAAGUCUGCACACUGGAAUGCUUCGAGGGCAACAGGUGGAAGGCUACUCCCUGAGACUGUGGAAUUCACCGAGUUGGAGUAGCAGAGCACAGGAGAGGCAGCUCACUGAGGCUGAGGAGGGGGGAUUGAGUGACAGCUCCAGUGUGGGGCAGGAAAGACCACCAUCACAGCCACAAACUGCCAAACUGUCACAACCCACUCUCCCGGAGCUUCUGGAUGAGAUUGUGACCCAUGGUUAAAUCAACAUCAACUUCCAUGACUAAAUGCUCCAAUAGGUCCGAGAGCUGUCCUCCUGAGUCCAUAACCUGACCUCCAUGGUCCGUGAGCUGUCCUCCAAAAUGCAACAAGGCAUGUGUGACAUCUCUGCCAGUAUUUGACAAGGCAUACAGACCAUCGCAGACCUCCUUGGCCAGAGUCUCGGGGAGGAUCCGACACCUGACCUAGUCCUGCCUAGGAACAAGAGCCCACUGGGCAGGCCCCUCGAAGAUCCGUGAACAGACCUCAGGCAGAACAAUCCCAACAGCUGAGGAUAAAAAAGAGGAAACAGUGAUUUCUCACCAGAUGUGGUCUUUGCUCCCUGAGCCCAUCUUAUCUUUUAAAAAAUGUUUGUUUACAAUGAUUUGUGGGUCAAGAAUGUCCAACUCCCUCCCGCAGAAUGGGGAUUGGCCUAUUCCGUUUACUUUCCCUGCCUGUCAUGCAUUAGCCUUAGAACUUGUCUCACCUUCCUCUUCAUUUUGUGUUGUUGAGUAUUGUGUUUGGUUAUUAGUCCCAGAAAAACCCUCAAUUUGGCACACAUCUUCCUCACCCAGUGUUCUGAUACCAGUCUUUUGUUAUGUUUGUUGCCCAGUAGAUGGGGUACUUCAAUACUGGGUAGUGACAUCCUGUUUUCUGCACAGCCAGGUGCUUGUUAAUGUGCCAUUUGAUGCACUUUUCUAAAAAUGUAUUAAUCAAACAUGUGUAGAUUGUGUGUUGCACAUAUGCAGAGUGUCAUAAACUACAUACAAUUUCAGAGAGAGCUAGAGGUGAAAUGAGCUGUGGAGGCGGUUGAAUUGCAUACAGGUGUGUUUUAUUUGCAACUAAUCGCUAGCAGAUGCCGACAAGGACACAUGCGCUGGGCGUUUGCAAAUCGUGCACUUACUCAUCAGCUGCAAAUAGCUAGUGUGCACUGACAGCGAUUUGCUUUUCAGCUGUGCAAAAACCACGCUUGCAGUCCUUAGUACACACCCCCGCAAGACACCCACCUACACGCCCCUUUUCGCAAGCCUGCAAAGCCAAGCCCCCGCACCGCCUUCAACACGCCUCUUUGUCGUUGCCUGACAGCGAACAGAAAAUCCAUGCGUAUUGCAUACGUUGCACGGCGAGCCCGGCACAUGCGCACUUCUGGCUUUGCGUGUGCGCAUUUGGCUAAAACCCGCUGCCUGCGAUGCGAAUUCUAGCAGCGAUCAGGUCUGAAUUACCCCCAUUGUUGUUAUGUUCCUUCUCUCAUGUAUGUCCUUUCUCCGUCGGACACUGUUUACCUAUAACUGCCUGUGACAGGGGGCAUAGAGUGGAGGAGCCAGCAUACCCAGUUGAAGAAAUUAAAAGUGCACCGGUUCCUUUGGACCCCGUCUAUACCCAUCAUACUCAGUCUCCCCAAUAUCCCUUAUGGACUACGAGAAAAUUAUUUAGCAGUAGGUAAUUAAAAUCCUAUUUUUACACUG